CCCUGUUGCUGCACUGGCCCGAUGAAACGAAUGUCUUCUGCAACUGGAACGGCCCCGGCCCCGUAAACGCUGUCGCGUCGGCGGACUGAAUGCGCAGGAGGAAACAUUUUGCUGCGAAGAUGUCUCCUCUAGACGACGCCUGUAAAGGAGGGAUACCGCAUCAAGAAUGAGUUCUCCAUCGGUCCUGGUCCGGAGGCAUCACCACAAGUCACUGUUGGCUGCCGUCUUGGCGCAUACAAAGAGGGAUCAAUGACCAUUGUCAGCCCCGAAAAAUGCACGAUUGUUCCCGCUAUAGCACGAGAUGUCGCCACGCUACAGCAGACACUGACUGUGCGUACCCCAUUAGCCGGUGGCUGUAUGGCUGCGGUUGGAAUGCAUCCGCAGAGGCUUACCCAGGUAGGAACAGACACGUGCAAUGUCACGGUGGUCCUUUUUCUUUCUGCAGGCAAACUGGGAUGGUGUAAUAUGAUGACUGAACAACAGAUUGCACUAGGUUCAAGUCCUGCUUGCAAGCGGAAUUGUUUUUCUGGCCAUAGUGCGAGCCACAGUCAACCCUGUAACUUCGACCGAACGGAUAUAUUUAUUAGUCGGUGUGCGAGAUUUAUGAGUGUCAGUUGUCAUGUUGUCAAGGAGGGAGUGUGCGAGAUUUACGAGUGUGAUUGGACAGGACACUGCGCUGAAAUAGAAUGAGUGUCAUUGUGAUAACAUCAUUUAUGAGUGUGUUGUUACGAUACAGUGUUUGUUGUGCGUGUUGUCGGAUACGCCGAUAUAAUUAGUUGCAUAGAUAGUACUUACAUGGUUGCUUGUAUUUUCGCUCUCCACAGCAACUCCACUGCGUGCUGCGUUCUAUGAAUUCCUAUUCUGUACACUGACUCUCUCUGACAGGGUUGGCUGUCACCCUGUCCCUGGGCGCAAGCACACUCUGACAGACCAAACCGAUUCGCUUCAUCUCCACAAUAUUUAUCUCCUUUCGAUUUGAAUUUCUGUUUGUUCUGCACUCUGAUAUUUCCUUGUUGUUUGCAC